CAAUCCUCACAUGAAAAUCCAACAUGGCGGCGCCCAUUGGGACAUUGUGUAGUACAGAUGAGCUUUGAGGCAAUACAGUCGUUGUUUUACUAUGACACGUGGGGCACAGGCUGGAAUCAAGUGGAGGACAGAAAAUGGUCUUGCCCGCAGUGGAACAGAGUAUGGCCCCCUGACAGAUUUCCCUGACUGAUCCUUUGCAGGCAG